GACGAACGCUGGCGGCGUGCCUAAUACAUGCAAGUAGAACGCUGAAGGAGGAGCUUGCUUCUCUGGAUGAGUUGCGAACGGGUGAGUAACGCGUAGGUAACCUGCCUGGUAGCGGGGGAUAACUAUUGGAAACGAUAGCUAAUACCGCAUAAUAGCAGUUGUUGCAUGAUAACUGUUUGAAAGGUGCAAUUGCACCACUACCAGAUGGACCUGCGUUGUAUUAGCUAGUUGGUGGGGUAACGGCUCACCAAGGCGACGAUACAUAGCCGACGGGAGAGGGGGAUCGGCCACACUGGGACUGAGACACGGCCCAGACUCCUACGGGAGGCAGCAGUAGGGAAUCUUCGGCAAUGGACGGAAGUCUGACCGAGCAACGCCGCGUGAGUGAAGAAGGUUUUCGGAUCGUAAAGCUCUGUUGUAAGAGAAGAACGAGUGUGAGAGUGGAAAGUUCACACUGUGACGGUAUCUUACCAGAAAGGGACGGCUAACUACGUG
rnacentral:rRNA from 1 species